UUGAGGAGGUUAGGAACAAAAGGUGACAUUUACGUAUCAGCUUCAUUUUUUUUUAUGUUUUUUUUCUUACUUGGAAGGAUAAAUUCUAUCAUUAUCUGCAAGACAUUGGUUCUGAAGGUGCUUAAUUUCAUAGAAAAAUCAACUUGAACUACUGCUUUUGAAACAAAAAGUUACAUUUUAAUUCAAUCUCAAUAGUGAUUUGUACAUAAUAAUCAAAAAGUGUCAUUUCCUUUGUAAAUAUUUCUGAGGCUUUUAAGGUCGGAUCAAAACGGGUACAUUAUUUCUUAAAAAAUAACGAUUUGCCCAAAAUAAAUUAUGACGACAGGUCGAAUCGAUAUGUUUAAUCGAAUAACCUUAUUAUAUGGUGGCAACAUUUUUUUUUACUUUUGUGGUGCGGCGCUCCUUGAUGGCGCUGUCUGUCCUGUCAGUUGUCAAACAAAACACUGACAGACAGAGUGACUGGUGACAUGACGAUUUGGUUGCGCGCCUUUUCGAUUUUCUUUCUGUGCAGCAGGAUUUAUUUAUCAAAUAUUUAUUAUUUUGUGAAUCGGCUUCUCAAAAUGGAAGAAGAAGCAGUAGACGUGGCCAGUAUCAACCAUGGUACACGAAAAAAGAAAAGACAGCAACAACGAAGCAAACAGCAAGUACAAAACGACAAAUAUAAAGAUAAGGACCCCUUGUGUACCAAUUUUUUUGUCCCUUGUGUGCACAAAGCUUCGUCACUUUUCAAAUGCCAAAAACUUAAAGAGCAAGAUAUCGUAAGAAACCGAAAACUGUUUUAUGAGAACAAAGGGAAAGUAAGCCAAGAUAUUUACCUUUGUCGACUGAUAGCAUCUUUUAAACCUCAAAGGAAGAAGGUUGAUAAAAACAGCAAUAAACCUAAACCACGAAAGUUUUCUACUAACUUUUAUUUAAUGAAUAAAAAUAAAAAGGCAGUCAGAGUGUGCAAAUUAUUUUUCAUGAAAGCUUUGAGUUUGGGUCGCAAAAGAAUAAACACUUUGUGCAAAACCAUAAAAAAUGGCAAUAUUCCUAAAGAAUCUAGGGGUGGAGACAGAAAGUCCAAAAAAUCUUUAGAAAAAAGGAAGAGUGUUUGCAACUUUAUAAAAGCCUUACCAGCCAGGGAAAGUCACUACAGCAGGAGCAAGUCUAGCAGAAUUUAUUUGUCAUGUGAAUUAAACAUAACAAAGUUGUGGAAAUUAUACAAUAAUUCUGUUGAAGAAGCACUACAGGUAAAAAAAUGGUUUUUUAGACACAUUUUUGUUACACAAUUUAACAUUGGUUUUUCAUCUCCAGCAAGUGAUGCUUGCACGACAUGUACAUUACUGUCCCAUAAAAUUAAAUCUGAGCAGGAUCCACAAAAGAAACAGUAUCAUAUGACUGAAAAAAGAGUACACAAGCUGAGAGCUAACGCUUUUUACCAAUUAGUAAGACAAGAAGUGGACAAUUCUUAUUCUUUUUGUUUUGACUUGCAACAAGUUAUGCCUUUACCAAAAACACCAAUUCAAGACAGUUUCUAUGCUCGACAAAUAAGUUUUUAUAAUUUGUGUAUUGUGAAUGUGGAUGGAAAGGACCCAGAUUUUUAUUGUUGGACUGAGGACAUGGCUGGUAGGGGCUCAAUGGAAGUAGGUUCUGCUUUAUUUAGUCAUCUGAACACACUCAAGCAGAAUGGGUCUUUAAAUGAUGUACACAUAAUCCGCAUGUUUUGUGAUGGGUGUGGAGGACAAAACAAAAAUUCAUUUAUUAUUGACACACUUAUAUACUGGUUAAUAAAAGAGUCUCCAGCAACUUUAAAAGAAAUUCAGAUUGUUUUUCCUGUGCGUGGUCACUCCUUUUUACCUGCCGAUCGUGUAUUUGGUCGCGUAGAAAAAGAUUUGAGAAAAAAAACAGUAAUUACAAACAGAGAAGAUUAUCAUGACCUAUUAUUACAGCAUGGAAGAGUAAAUAUUUUAGGCAAAGAUUGGAAGUAUUAUGACAUCAAAAACCUUGAUAAACAUUUUAAAAAAGUAGAAGGUAUAAGGGACAUGAAACGCAUAUGCAUAGAAAAGAAACAAAUAAAAAAAAGAACUGAGGCAAUAGUUAAAUGUUUCAGAAACUUCAGAUUUGAAAAUGCUGGAGAAUCAAAAGGAAUAAAUCCUUUAAAGAGAAAUACAAACCUGUUGAGUAUCAAACUUGUUGAGAAAGAACUGGGACAUUUCAUAAAAGGUGCAAAGAAAAAGGAUGUAGAAAGUUUAUUAACUAAACAGUUUGGAGAAAACUGGAAAAAUGAUCCUUCUUUAAAAUGGUAUUGUGAUAUCUUGUAUGAAAAUAAUAUAAGUGAAAAUGACAAUGAAAAUGAUGAAAAUGGAUGUGACUGCUUAGAACCUGAUUGUGGAGAACUUCAUGUAUAAGAAUUUAAAAUAAUAAUAAACACAUUUUUUGUAUGGAUA